rnacentral:rRNA from 1 species
CUACGGGCUGCUGCAGUGGGGAAUAUUGGACAAUGGACCAAAAGUCUGAUCCAGCAAUUCUGUGUGCACGAUGAAGGUUUUCGGAUCGUAAAGUGCUUUCAACAGGGAAGAAGUUCUGACGGUACCUGUAGAAGAAGUGACGGCUAAAUACGUGCCAGCAGCCGCGGUAAUACGUAUGUCACAAGCGUUAUCCGGAAUUAUUGGGCAUAAAGGGCAUCUAGGCGGCUUGGUAAGUCUGAUGUGAAAAUGCGGGGCUCAACUCCGUAUUGCGUUGGAUACUGCUAAGCUAGAGUAUUGGAGAGGUAGGCGGAACUACAUGUGUAGAGGUGAAAUUCGUAGAUAUAUGUAGGAAUGCCGAUGACGAAGGUAGCUUACUGGACAAUUACUGACGCUGAAGUGCGAAAGCUAGGGGAGCAAACAGGAUUAGAUACCCUCGUAGUC